rnacentral:rRNA from 1 species
CCUACGGGAGGCAGCAGUAGGGAAUCUUUCACAAUGGGCGAAAGCCUGAUGGAGCAACGCCGCGUGCAGGAUGAAGGCCUUCGGGUUGUAAACUGCUUUUAUAAGCGAGAAAUAUGAUGGUAACUUAUGAAUAAGGAUCGGCUAACUACGUGCCAGCAGCCGCGGUCAUACGUAGGAGCCGAGCAUUAUCCGGAGUGACUGGGUGUAAAGAGUUGCGUAGGUGGCAUAAUAAGUAGCUAGUGAAAUCUGGUGGCUCAACCAUUCAGACUAUUAGCUAAACUGUUAAGCUCGAGACCGUGAGGGGUAACUGGAAUUUCUAGUGUAGGAGUGAAAUGCGUAGAUAUUAGAAGGAACACCAGUAGCGUAGGCAGGUUACUGGAACGGUUCUGACACUAAGGCACGAAAGCGUAGGGAGCAAACGGGAUUAGAUACCCGGGUAGUC